GUUACCAGGAUUUUGCUCGAGAGUUGCUGAGGGUGUUCUGUCCCAUUUUACCCCACAAGGAGUCCACCAGAGGAUUACUGAACCUCAAACAAGGUAAUAAAAGAGUAACUGAAUUCAUCAAUGACUUUCAUACACUGGCAGUUGACAGCAGAUGGAAUGAAGAGGCCCUCCAGGAUGUUUUCCUCCAGGCACUUAAUGAAGACAUCAAAGACRAGUUGGCAGCCCGAGACCCUCCUCAAUCCCUACGUGAACUUGAAGAUCUUGCCACCCGGAUUGACUUGAGGUUACAUGAGCGAAGACACACUAAAAAAGGAUUGUCGGUGACAUCGUGUUGCUCCGGAACCAAACAGACACAGUUGGUGUUUCCACACGGAGGCUUCCAGUUGACACCAGAAAACCGGACCCGCGCACCUGGGUUGUUCCAGCUCCACAUCAGCAAUUUUAUUAAAACUUGUAAACC